AUCCUAUAUCGAAUUGUUUUUUUGUGAAACUGACAUUCAAUAAAUAAGUAGAAAUAUAUCGAAAUAUGUUGCUUUGUCAAAAGCACUCUUUAUAAAAAAAUUUGAGCAUACAUUGGAAUAAUGAAUUUUGUAAAAAGGACUUUUUCGAAUCUUUUGAAAAACAGCAAUUAAAUUGAUUUAUGUUCUUUUGUCGUAUGCAAUUUCACAAAAAAGCAGAGAUAUGUUGAUUUGACCAUUUAGAUGACUCUGGAACCAGUAAUGGUGAAAAGACCCUGCCCUACAGCCAGUAAAACGAAAAUAAACUUAUAUGCAACUGUAGCAACACUAAACGAAUGCAAAACAACGAGGACCCCAAACCGAUUCGUCACCAACGAAAUCCCAAUUUGAAGUCGAGAUGUAGAAAUAGAACAAGCUUCGUCAUUUUUGGAAGUACAUACAUUGCUGUUUGUUUAAAUUAACUUCCAAUUUAUUUAUCUGGCUAAAUAAGCUGGAUACUCUCUUUCUCUCUCUUUUCACACCACAUACUUCCGCUGUCCAUGUAGUGCUAAUUAAACAAAUCGAUAUAUACGAAUGUGCAUUAUCACUUAUAUUUUAUUUAGCUUGUUUUGCUUCUGGGCAAAAAUUAAAAAAACGAAAUAACCUAAUUAUAUAUUUGAUUUUAAAUAAAAUACAUACAAAAAUUGUAA
rnacentral:sRNA from 1 species